rnacentral:lncRNA from 1 species
GCGGACGCAGCCGGCCCUUCUCAGGUGCAUUUUAGUGGUUACCAGGUUGCCACGUAUUUGAAGUGGUGUGAGAGCUACUCGUUUGGAACCGUUGUGGAUUUUCAAAUAGGAAAAUCAAAAGGCCCAAAGAGACAGCUCACUGGUGACCAUGCUUUGGGAUUUUCAUAGUUUGAGUAAUUCCUAUGGGCUCUACCACCCAGCGAGUUAAAGAAGACAAGAUUCCACCCCCAGGGGGUUGUGGUUCUGGGAAUGUGAGCAGCUUGUUUUCAGGAGAUCUGCAUCUUGAUCUGGCCUGCUAUUAGGAUCUGUGGUGGUGGUGCCUGUCUGGUUUUAGUUGUUUCUUUUAUCUUACACAGAUUUUUGUAAGUUAUUUGCAUAUAAAGGUUUUUGAAAAGUGAAUGUUUUAUGGGGGCAUCUUGCUUAUACAAAGAAAAAUUAAAACUGUUUUAAAAUAAUCACUCGUGUUACACUUGUCUAUUCUAAAAUAAAUGAAAGUAUUAAUGUUGUUGUCUGGAAGGAAAAUGAAGACCAGGAAAAUAGCUAUGCUCUUAAUGUUUUAAAAUAAGGUAAUAUUAUUCUCUGUUUGAAUGGAGGCUUCUAAGGAAUUACCACAGUCUCACACACAAUCGACUUAAAUGCAUUCUUUAUCUUUAAAAGGAAGCAGAAUAGGAUCAUUGAGUAAAUCACAUGUGUUCACAGUCUUGUCUGGUGUAAUCGUAUACUACACAAACACAUUAUUCUGUAGUCAGGAGGGGAAGGGGACAUUUGAAGCAGGACUUGCCCUUGAGGAGGCCUUUUUCUGUUUAAAGUAUAGUGCAGUGAAAGACCACACAGUAGAAGAUAACAAAAUAUCUUCCAUGCCACCCCCACUUUUUCAUUUUCUCAUUCUCCUUUGUUCUCUAAGGACAUCUGUUGAAAUGAUUAUUCUGUAAAACUCAUAGGUACCUAGCAGAAGCCAUAUCAUAUUUCAUUUAUUAUUUUGUCUACUUAAUUAUUGUUUUCUUUUAUAUCAUGCAAUUGUGGGUUUUAAAAAUAUUCUGUUUAUAAAAGAU